AUAGUUAACGAUAUCCAUCAGUUUGUAGGUAAAAUAUUCUCUUUUACUAUUAGUUUUUCUGAGCAUGAAUAUCAGCAACAUCUAGAUGGGUUAACUAA